GCUAAUAUAGUUCAGUGGCAGAAUGGCUGUCUUGUAAACAGCGGGUGUUGGUUCGAUUCCAACUGUUAGCU
rnacentral:tRNA from 1 species